AAAGUUUCAUGAUAUGAUUUCAUGUCACCAGACACUAGUGGUUGAAGAGCAUAUAUUAAUAUCACCAUGUCCAAAAUCAGUGAUCAUAAUGUAGGUGGGGAGCACCAAUGAAUUCACACUCACACCCGUGACUUAGAAAGAAAGAAAGAAAUAAUUUGUUCAUAAAAUACAUUGCAUAUGUGUUAUUCUUAUUCCUAUUCCUAUCAACUUUUGUCUAUCUCUUUGUCACCGUAUUUGACAAGGUGUUGAAGGAGAGAGGAAGGUGACAAGAUGACAACAAAGGAUAUGAAAGUUGAGAUUUCAUCUGGAAAUUAUGUCAAUACUACUGGAUUAAUGGAGAUUCACAGUGCACAAGGCGAGCUUAUGAGGCAACCAAGCAUGACCAAGACCAAUUGCCUCUGCUCUCCAACCACACAUGCUGGUUCCUUCCGGUGCAGGCUACACCGCACCCCGAGCUUCCAGAGGACCAAAAGCAUGGAGUCAUCUACACGCCAGGAUGCUGUUGGGAUACCAAAUGUGUGUCAGAAGUCUCACAUUGGAUGAAAAAGAAAAUGUUGAAUAAUUUACUAAUGUUGUUUGCUCUUAGCCCAAUGCUUCUAGUUCUAUGGUCCAUGAUACUGGUGAUGCCAACAAGGAUUAGAUAAACUAGAUCAAUUGAUCUUCUAUCUGAAUUUAGAUAAAUUGAUCUUGUUGAACUGUUUGUUCCUUCUGUCUAUAUCUAUUGCUUGCCAGCGUUGCAUUUAGCAUAUUAAUGUUUAAUGAAUGAUUGAAAAACAUUAGCAAGUUAUGUAAAACAAUUUAUAAUCCAGUGGCCUUGGAAUAAUGGAAUGGUUGGGAAAAUCUGUAUGUUUAGGUAAUAGAUGGGGAUUGCUCCUUAACUCAUUAGGUUGCUCUGUAUCAUGGACAAGAAUCACUUCAGUAAGAAUCAAAUUAGGCACUUAUUUUUGAAGAAA